rnacentral:lncRNA from 1 species
AGAAAUCAACGCCAUACCAGGCCGCGCAGUCCCUUCCUUCUCAGUCCCACACCGGUCGGCGAUUACACUCCUUAGUCCUUACCGCGGCCACCCACCCAACACCAAGUAAAUCGUCCUGAUAACUCUUUUUUGUUCCAAUCGACACUUGGAAAUAUCUCCCCGGCGAUCAAAAUCCAGCAAAACCCCUCGUUUGAGCAAAACCCUAAGAGCACCUCCAAAAAACGACACGAAACGAACUGCAGCAGAAAGAAAUCGAAGGAAUGGCCCAAAACGCAAAACGAUCGAGGACCCCAUGGCUCCGCCCAAUCGAGCGAAGAACCGACUACUCGAUCAAAGGGGAGAGGGGAAGCGACGAAGAAAAGGAGCGAGAAUCGCGAAAGGAGAGAGGCGCCG